GCUCUUCCCCCAUUGUCGGUAUUGAAUUAAAAUCCCCUAUCUCUCUCACCGCACACUUUCCUUUCUAUCUCUGCUUCAAAUAAAACCCUAGAUGUAAUUCUAUAUUUCAGUUUCUUGAUUUCUUGAUUGUUGAUAAACCUCUCAGUCAAUCCUCUCAAUUCCUACACUAAACUAUCAUUUGAGAGAUGAGGUCUGAAACCCUAACGAUCGGAUUAUUGUAGAGAACGUGGUGGUUGUGGCUAGUUGUGGAUGAUGGAGGCGGCGCUGGUGAUUAAGGUUCUUUCCUUUUUUUCUUUCAUCCUCUUCACAUUUACAAACCCUAAUACACAUAUACUACUUUACUACUUCUGUGGCACAUAUGAACUCUCACCGGCUUAAUUCAAUAUGUUGGUAGAAUCUGUGAAUGUUUGGGCAAAAAUUUAUGCUAUUAGUUACCACAAGUCACUUAACCAUCACAACUUUUAUUUCAAACAACAAGAUUCAAGGAGCUUGAGUACUAGAGAUGCACUAAUACUUCACAAGUUAUACCCAAGUUAUGGAUUAUAAGUUCCGUUCUUGUGUCUAUACGCAGCCUGCUGAUUUUUUCUGCGAAAACCCACAAAAAACGCAGGUUUUUUCAGCGAAAAACGCAACCAGCAACGUCGCUGCAGGUUUUUUCGAUGAACGUUUUCGACGGACGAUGCAGCCUGCAGGUUUUUUCAGCGAUCUGCGAGUUUUUUUGUCUGGUUUCGGCGAAAAACAACAGCAUGACAGCACAGGUUUGCAGGUAUGUGCUUAUAGGCCAUUGUUGUUCCAUACUAGGUGUAGGUAUGUGCUUAUAGGCCAUUUGGCUAUGUUUUAUUUCAAACACGCUGAAUAAAGCAUUUAACUGCAAAUGUAAAAUGAGACAUGUCUAAAUUUACAAGACUGUGUUUGGCAUGGUUUUAGUAAAUGACAAAACGUAUUUGCGGGUUAGAUUCGAUGUAUCAUUUGAGGCAUUAAACCUUUUCAUUUUUUUACAAAAGUAAGGUUCGUAACAAGUGGCGGUGAGCAAAAUAUUUAAUAUUUGAAAUAAACAAAUUGAGAUGAGGUCUUAAUAGUUCAGCUAUGAUUUUCUUAUAACUGUCUUUUAUGGUUCAGUUAAAGAAUCCACAAUAGAAGAGUUAAAAAUACCAGUCAUGUCACCUAUGCCUCAUGUCACCUACGCAUGGGAUUUGGCCCUCGCAUAUUAAUAACCCGUCACCCGAGAUUUACAAGUCUGGGCUCAAUUAUUUCGGUUCCGAUGUGGCGGGUUCUACGCUGUGGAAGGCCCACUAUGGGAUAGGUUUUAAGCAACAGUUGCUGAUGAUGACUAGAGCCCACAUAAUUAGCUGGGGGCACGGUUUCUUGCGUUUACUGAAGGCCCAAACCUAGCCUGAUUGUCCUACAAAAAGAACCCGGGUUUGGGAUUUCCGAAAGUGGUUUAAUUUUCAAGCGAAGGCCCAAUACAGGGUUCUUAUUGUGAAGACCAGGGCCCACCUUCGUCGUUUGGGCAUGGUGAUGCUGGGCUUGGUUUAUGAGUGGUUUUUAUCAGCGGUGGGUGCCCACUUAUAUAACUACUUAUUGGCUUUGUAGUGGGUGGGAAAGGAUAAAAUGUGUAAAAGCUUCGGUCAGGCUCUGUUUAAUGGAGAAGGCUCAAACAAGGGUUGGGUUGGGCCACUGAUGGAAAUCAAGCACAUAUCGGCCAAACUUAAAAACGUCUCGUUGGGCAUGUUUUUUGUGGUUUGUGCAAAGGCGCUAACGAUGAAGAUAAAGAGGACAAAUGUUGUUUACAAAGAAGUUUUUACUGAUCUGUGAUGUUCAUGUACCGUAAUAUUUUAAUUUUUUUAGUUUAUACGUUUAUAUUGAAAA